UGAGGAAUCCUCCCCAAUGCACGAAAGUGUGAGGGAGCUACGCCGCGUGGAGGAUGAAGUCCUUCGGGAUGUAAACUCCUGUCAGGGGUUAGAAAGUUCCGAUCAACCCCAGAGGAAGUGGCGGCUAACUCUGUGCCAGCAGCCGCGGUAAGACAGAGGCCACAAGCGUUAGGCGGAAUCACUGGGCUUAAAGCGUGUGUAGGCGGACCGUUAAGUGCUUUGUGAAAUCCCCCGGCUCAACCGGGGAAUGGCUGGGCAUACUGGCGGUCUUGAGCUGCCUAGGGGUCACUGGAACAAACGGUGGAGCGGUGAAAUGCGUAGAUAUCGUUUGGAACGCCCACGGUGAAAACAGGUGACUGGGGGCAAGCUGACGCUGAGACACGAAAGCCAGGGGAGCAAACG
rnacentral:rRNA from 1 species